GAUGAACGCUGGCGGCGUGCCUAAUACAUGCCAGUCGAGCGAACGGACGAGAAGCUUGCUUCUCUGAUGUUAGCGGCGGACGGGUGAGUAACACGUGGAUAACCUACCUAUAAGACUGGGAUAACUUUGGGAAACCGGAGCUAAUACCGGAUAAUAUUUUGAACCGCAUGGUUCAAAAGUGAAAGACGGUCUUGCUGUCACUUAUAGAUGGAUCCGCGCUGCAUUAGCUAGUUGGUAAGGUAACGGCUUACCAAGGCAACGAUGCAUAGCCGACCUGAGAGGGUGAUCGGCCACACUGGAACUGAGACACGGUCCAGACUCCUACGGGAGGCAGCAGUAGGGAAUCUUCCGCAAUGGGCGAAAGCCUGACGGAGCAACGCCGCGUGAGUGAUGAAGGUCUUCGGAUCGUAAAACUCUGUUAUUAGGGAAGAACAUAUGUGUAAGUAACUGUGCACAUCUUGACGGUACCUAAUCAGAAAGCCACGGCUAACUACGUG
rnacentral:rRNA from 1 species